AUUGAACGCUGGCGGCAGGCCUAACACAUGCAAGUCGAACGAGUGGCGGACGGGUGAGUAAUGUCUGGGAAACUGCCCGAUGGAGGGGGAUAACUACUGGAAACGGUAGCUAAUACCGCAUACCAUCGGAUGUGCCCAGAUGGGAUUAGCUAGUAGGUGGGGUAACGGCUCAUCUAGGCGACGAUCCCUAGCUGGUCUGAGAGGAUGACCAGCCACCCUGGAACUGAGACACGGUCCAGACUCCUACGGUAGGCAGCAGUGGGGAAUAUUGCACUAUGGGCGCAAACCUGAUGCAGUCAUGCCGCGUGUAUGAUGAUGGCCUUCGGGUUGUAAAGUACGUUCAGCGAGGAGGCGUUACUCGCAGAAGAAGCACCGGCUAACUCCGUGCCAGCAGCCGCGGAAAUUC
rnacentral:rRNA from 1 species